ACUGGCUGGAAGCCAACGAACAUGCAUUUCACCCCUCAAGAAUGGACGUUACAUGUAUUUUUUUUCCCUUAUGGCGAUCCCCCUAAAGUGAUUUUAUUGGCUGGAGCUGCUUCUUCUCCGUGACGUCACUGGCGGGUUGGCAGUUUCGGCUGCAACCGCACACAGCACAACCACCACCAUUUUCUGCUUUUCGUAGUGCAUUUUUCCUUCUCAUCACAACAACUCUCUCAAUGUCGGCCAAUUGAUUAAUUAAUUAUUAAACGUAUAAUAAAUUAACUAAGAUUACACGUAUGAAUAAUGCACCAAGAUUAAACGUAUCAAUAAUUAAAACGUAUCAAUAAUUAACGUAAUUAAUUAAAUAAUUAAUUGAAAUAAAUAAAUCAAUCAAUAAUUAACUAAGAUUGCACGUACAAAUAAUUGUGAUUCUUCAUUUCAAGAUAACACAAAUAAUUUGGACCGUCUGUUAAUUAAAAAGAGUUAUCAUCGUUCCAACAGUACACGUACAAAGAUAAGGAUUCUUUCUCCAAUCAAGGAGGGUCCGUUAAGUAGCAAGAGUUAUCAUCUUUUCAACAGUAUAUGUACAAACUACAACGAUUCUUUCUCCACUCUAGGACGGUCCGUUAGUUAUAAAAGUUAUCAUCGUUUCAAUAGUAUACGUACAAACUACAACGAUUCUUUCUCCACUCAAGGACGAGCCGUUAAUAAACAAGAAUUCUCUUGAUUUCAAAAGUAUACGUACAAAUUACAACGAUUCUUUCUCCACUCAAGGUUAGACAAUUAAUUAAGUGGGAUUAUUUAUUUCAACUUUCAUGUGACAAUUACGUAACAGUGUUUUUCGUUUCUCCUCGUGUGAACAUUAUUCGUAUAUUAUUAAAAGGAUUAUUUCUCCACUCAAGGUAAGAUUAGUGAUUAAGUAGUAUUAUGUAUUUCUACUUUCAAGGUCACACAAUUAAUUAACAAUAUUUUUUCUCAUUUCAAGGACGGUCUGUUAAUUAGCAAGAGUUAUCAUCGUGUCAACACGUACAAAUGAUAAGGAUUGGCUAGGAAGGGGCCAUAAAUUUGCAAGAAUUCUCCUCUUGUCCACAUUACACGUGUAAAGAUUGAUUUUUUUCCUUGAAGGACGAAGAAAUCAAUUUGUGGGUGACAAGCAAGGCUGAGUGCAUACAACACAAAAAUUCAAUGAUUCAACUAAUAGUAAUAGCAAAGUUAUAUCAAUUAGUUAAGAGACAUAAUCAGCUAUAUAAACAAUCUAAAAGUUUUGGUCAGACAAGAGCUCAACUUUUGUAUCAAU